rnacentral:rRNA from 1 species
AGGCUACCGCUAUUGGAGUUCGAUUAAGCCAUGCGAGUCCAGAGCUUUCGGAGCUCGGCGUACCGCUCAGUAACACGUGGGUAACCUAACCUAUGCAGGGGAAUAACCUCGGGAAACUGAGAAUAAUACCCCAUAGUCCACUACGCCUGGAACGGUGAGUGGAUGAAAGCUCAGGCGGCAUAGGAUGGGCCUGCGGCGUAUCAGGUUGUAGGGGGUGUAAAGUACCCUCUAGCCCUCUACGCGUACGGGUGUUGGGAGACAUAGCCCGGAGAUGGAUUCUGAGACACGAAUCCAGACCCUACGGGGUGCAGCAGGCGCGAAAACUUGGCAAUGCGAGCAGUCGUGACCAGGGAACUCCAAGUGGCUGGGGUAAGACCCAGUCUUUCCAGAACUCUUCAAAGGUUUUAGAAUAAGGGGUGGGUAAGGACGGUGCCAGCCGCCGCGGUAAUACCGGCGCCUCAAGUGGUAGUCGCUUUUAUUGGGCCUAAAACGUCCGUAGCCGGUUUGGUACAUUCGUGGGUAAAUCAACUCGCUCAACGAGUUGAAUUCUGCGAGGACGGCCAGACUUGGGACCGGGAGAGGUGUGGGGUACUCUCAGGGUAGGGGUAAAAUCCUGUCAUCCUGAGAGGACCACCUGUUGCGAAGGCGCCACACUAGAACGGAUCCGACGGUCAGGGACGAAGCCUAGGGGCACGAACCGGAUUAGAUACCCGGGUAGUCCUAGGUGUAAACGCUGUGGACUUGAUGUUGGAGGAGCUCCGAGCUCUUUCAGUGUCGAAGCGAAGGUGAUAAGUCCACUGCCUGGGAAGUACGGUCGCAAGGCUGAAACUUAAAGGAAUUGGCGGGGGAGCACCGCAACCUGAGGAUUGUGCGGUUU